GCAGAGCCCCGUCAGGACCCUGCAGCUGCUGCAGCUCCAGCCUGGCCACGGCCUCCUGGGCCAGCACCACCUGCACAGGGGACUGGAGUUCUGGGAGGUGAAGGUGAAGAGCAAAUCCUUCCUGUACCGACAGGUGAGGAGGAUGGUGGGGGCCCUGGUGGCCGUGGGCCAGGGCAGGAUGGCCCCGGGGCAGCUGCAGCAGCUGCUGGAGCUCAGGGACCCCCGGGCGCUGCCCCCGCACGCCACGGCCCCGCCCGAGGGGCUCUUCCUGCACAGCGUGGAGUACAGCCAGGCAGAUUUGGCCCUUCCAUGUGCCCCAGCAGAAGAGGAGCUCUGUGGGCUCAGCUGAAAGGAAUUUAUAACAUAAAUUAUAAAUUAAAUUAAACAAUUAUAAAAAUUGUAACAUCUGUAUUGUCUCACCCUUCACAUAAAAGUUUUUAAAACACCUCUCAGUUACCCCAUUCCUAAAUUGUAAAAAUUCAUAUUCCAACACCUCUGCUUCCAGUGGGGAGGGCUGGGGGGAUGAAACAGAUCCCAGGUGCUUCCUGGAGCUUUUUUUUCUGAUUGUUUUUCUGGGGGUUUUUUUUCAGGUUAUUUUUUGUAAUUUUUUUUCCUGGGUUUUUUUUUCUGAUUUCUUUCUGGUUUUUUUUCCCCGAAAUUCAUCCAGGUAUUUGUCCUUAAUUGGCCACCUCAUUAAUUAUUAUUAAAAACCGCAGGUUGGCUUCUGGCCUCUCCCUCUCUGUUUUGCUCAGAUUUUUAAACCUUGCUGAAAAAAUUCAGCUGCAACUUUUGUAAACUCUGGAAAAUUCCAAUUCCUGGCACUGCGAGAGCCUCAGCCCCUAAGAAUCCUUUACCUUGAGCAGAAAUUCUUUUUUUUAUCCCAUUUUUUCCAGUGGGAAAUCCUCCCAGCACUGGAGGGGAACUCCUUUUAUCACAAUCUUAUUGAAAAAUGUAAAAAAAUUGGAUUAGAUGCUCCUUGCAGCAGAGCCUGAGGGAAGGAGGAGGAAUUAAAGAUGUUUUGCUGCUUGGUUUUCAGCACAUUUAGGGUUUUUUACUUUCUGUGAUGCUUUUAUACUUUGAAUUUUAAUUUAAGCAGGGGAUUUUCAGCUAUGGGAGGGGAGAACACUGAGUAACUUCUACUUUAAUGUGUAAAUUGCUCCUCAGGUAUAUUUAAAAACAAAUUCUUGACUCCCUGGCUGUUUUUUUCCAAGGGGGAAAAUCCCAGUGCUGGUGUCACUGCAGGAAUUGAACAAACACUGAAAUUCUUUUAUUAAAAUCAAACAGAAAAAAGCAUUGAAAAUGUAAACGAA
rnacentral:lncRNA from 1 species